UACAGAGGUCUCAAGCGUUGUUCGGAUUCAUUGGGCGUAAAGGGUGCGUAGGCGGCGCUGUAAGUCGGGUGUGAAAUCUUGGAGCUUAACUCCGAAACUGCAUUCGAUACUGCCGUGCUUGAGGACUGGAGAGGAGACUGGAAUUUACGGUGUAGCGGUGAAAUGCGUAGAUAUCGUAAGGAAGACCAGUGGCGAAGGCGGGUCUCUGGACAGUUCCUGACGCUGAGGCACGAAGGCCAGGGGAGCAAACGGG
rnacentral:rRNA from 1 species